rnacentral:tRNA from 1 species
GAGGGCAUACCUCAGUGGUAGAGUGCAUGCCUAGCAUGCACAAGGUCCUCGGUUCAAUCCCCAGUGCCGCCA